UGCUGGGAUUACAGGCGUGAGCCACUAGCAGCACUCUUUCUCUUUGCCUAUUGCCAUUCACGUAAGAUGUGACUGGCUCCUCCUUGCCUUCUGCCAUGAUUGUGAGGCUUCCUCGGCAUGUGGAACUGUAAGUCCAAUAAACCUCUUUCU